rnacentral:tRNA from 1 species
GGGCUUGUAGCUCAAUGGGAGAGCAGAUGCUUUGCAAGCAUAAGGUUGAGGGUUCAAGUCCCUCCUUGUCCACCA